CCCCACCUCGCCGGAGUCCCGCGCCCCCGUCCCCCGCCCCCUGCAGGCCCCCGCCCUCCCCGUCCCCCCGCCCCCACCUCGCCGGAGUCCCGGGCUCCCGGGGGGCGGGCGGGCGGCGGCGGCCGCGGCUCGGCGGCUCCCGGGGCGCUCCCCCUGGCGGGGGCGGGGGCGGGCGCCAGCUGCGCGGCCGUGACAGCUCCCCGUGCCAGCCCAGUGGCUCCCUGCCAUUGGCUCGGUGCGGCGGACCGGCGACGCCGCGCACUAUAACAGCCCUCAUGCCCGCCGGCCGCCGCGACUCCCGGGCCGCCGCCGCCGCCACUGCCGCCGCCACUGACGCGCUCGGGGCCCUGCGGCCGGCGGGGGGCGGGGGGCGGGGGGCAUGCGGGGGCGGGCGCGGGGGCGGGCGCGGGCGCGGGCGCGGGGGCGGGGGGGGGGGGGCGCGCGCGGCCGCGGGGCGGAGUGAGCGUGGCCCCCGGCGUGCGGGGCGGCGGCGGCGGCGGCGGCGGGGCCCCAGCGCCGGGCGGGAGGCGGCGGGGCCCCAUGGAGUGUUACUACAUUGUCAUCAGCUCCACGCGGCUCCGCAACGGACACUUUCGCAACAUCAAGGGAGUUUUCCGGGGCCCCCUCAGCAAGAACGGGACCAAAACUCUGAUAUGACAAGAGAAUGGCUAGUGGUGAGCAGUGGGGAGGCAAGGCCAUCAGGGAAGAUAAUUUCAAGGUCAUGAGAUCCAAAGCUGGGGACUUUUAGGGAUGAAGGAGGGAAGGAGGAUGGUCAAGAAUUAUCAAGGUGGAAUGAAGAAGACUUGUGUCCUGCACUGGCACAUUAAUAUGAGGAUGUGGGGAGACAAAACAUCUACCCAUCUCUUGAGAGAGCUACAGGGAAAUUUUUUUUUCCAAGAGAGACAGUUCAGUUGGAAUGAAGACAUGCAGAGAAACUUCAGUGGGAGGCCUAAAGCUGUAGAGAUUUCGUCAACAUCAGACAUUUCAGAAUUCAAGAAGGCACAGUCCCGGUGUUUUAGGGCAUGUGGAAAUACAGAGGACCGUAUCAGAAAAGAGGAUGUAACAAUCACAUGGGUCACAUGGGGAUCGAAGUCCGAAGAAUGAAGAAUUUGGAAAUUCUGGGCUCCUUGUGGUAUUGACAUCAUUGGGGAUGGAGGGUAGGAUACAAUUGGUCCUGAUAAUCCCAGCGCAGGCAGUGGCAGCAGUGGAGUGGCGGGGGAUGACGGAGAGGUAGGGGUUCUGUGGGCCGCGCUCAGUUCUCGGGCUCACCUUUGACUCCUUCUGUGAGCCUGAAUUUUGCAUGGCCCUCCUCUGAGCCUCAGAGCUUCCCCUUGCCCCCUGCUGAAGCCUUAUGGCGGAGGGGCAUGGUUAGUUCAGCCACUGGAGAUUUAAAAUAUUAACGGCAAUUCAGGGGCCCCUGGGUGGCUCAGCCAGUUAAGCGUCUGAGUCUUGGUUUCAGCUCAGGUCGUGACCUCAGGGUGGUGAGGUCGAGCCACCUGUCGGGCUCCGUGCUGGGCGUGGAUCCCGCCUGGGGUUCUCUCUCUCCCUCUUCCUCUGCAUUUCCCCACCCCUCACCACCCCCCGCUCCCACCCUCUCUCUCUCGAAAUUAAAAUAAUAAUAAUAAAUCAAUAAAAAUAGUUAAAGUAUUAACAUUCAAAGGUUAACCCAUCCAAAUGGCCUCGUUUGUGUCCUUCAGGUAGGAGACACCUAAACAAUUUAACGGAGAGCAGACAAGUUCAGAGAGACUCUGAAUCAGGUCUGGAGCUCAGGGAGUGGUGGAGCACCUUAGAUGGAUUAUGGAAAGGAGGGG
rnacentral:lncRNA from 1 species